AGAGUUUGAUCCUGGCUCAGGAUGAACUGCUAGCGACAGGCCUAACACAUGCAAGUCGAGGGGCAUCGGGGAGCGAAGCUUGCUUUGCUCCGCCGGCGACCGGCGCACGGGUGAGUAACGCGUAUGCAACCUGCCCGUUUCAGCGGGAUAACCCGGAGAAAUCCGGCCUAAUACCGCAUGUGGCCGAGGGAAGGCAUCUUCUUUCGGCCAAAGGAGGCGACUCCGGAGACGGAUGGGCAUGCGUGACAUUAGCUUGUUGGCGGGGUAACGGCCCACCAAGGCGACGAUGUCUAGGGGUUCUGAGAGGAAGGUCCCCCACACUGGUACUGAGACACGGACCAGACUCCUACGGGAGGCAGCAGUGAGGAAUAUUGGUCAAUGGGCGAGAGCCUGAACCAGCCAAGUCGCGUGAAGGAUGACGGCCCUACGGGUUGUAAACUUCUUUUGUCAGGGAGCAAUUGGGUCCACGCGUGGGCUUAGCGAGAGUACCUGAAGAAAAAGCAUCGGCUAACUCCGUGCCAGCAGCCGCGGUAAUACGGAGGAUGCGAGCGUUAUCCGGAUUUAUUGGGUUUAAAGGGUGCGUAGGCGGAAUAUCAAGUCAGCGGUAAAAAUUCGGGGCUCAACCCCGUCGUGCCGUUGAAACUGAUGUUCUUGAGUGGGCGAGAAGUAUGCGGAAUGCGUGGUGUAGCGGUGAAAUGCAUAGAUAUCACGCAGAACUCCAAUUGCGAAGGCAGCAUACCGGCGCCCAACUGACGCUGAAGCACGAAAGCGUGGGUAUCGAACAGGAUUAGAUACCCUGGUAGUCCACGCAGUAAACGAUGAAUGCUAAUUGUCCGGAGGGAUUGACCUCUGGGUGAUACAGCGAAAGCGUUAAGCAUUCCACCUGGGGAGUACGCCGGCAACGGUGAAACUCAAAGGAAUUGACGGGGGCCCGCACAAGCGGAGGAACAUGUGGUUUAAUUCGAUGAUACGCGAGGAACCUUACCCGGGCUCAAACGCAGGAGGAAUACAUUUGAAAGGGUGUAGCUCUACGGAGUCUUCUGCGAGGUGCUGCAUGGUUGUCGUCAGCUCGUGCCGUGAGGUGUCGGCUUAAGUGCCAUAACGAGCGCAACCCCUAUCGACAGUUGCCAACAGGUGAAGCUGGGAACUCUGUCGAGACUGCCGGCGCAAGCUGAGAGGAAGGCGGGGAUGACGUCAAAUCAGCACGGCCCUUACGUCCGGGGCGACGCACGUGUUACAAUGGCGGCCACAGCGGGAAGCCAGGCGGCGACGCCGAGCGGAACCCGAAAAGCCGUCUCAGUUCGGAUUGGAGUCUGCAACCCGACUCCAUGAAGCUGGAUUCGCUAGUAAUCGCGCAUCAGCCACGGCGCGGUGAAUACGUUCCCGGGCCUUGCACUCACCGCCCGUCAAG
rnacentral:rRNA from 1 species